rnacentral:lncRNA from 1 species
UUUUCUUGUUAAUGACUUUUCUCUCGGGAUCUGUUUAUUUUCUUGUUCCUCUUAUUUUACAUUAAUUGAUCCUUUUUAAUUUAAAUUUAUUUACUUUUUGCUCAUCUUUUAUUUUCUUCUCUCUGGAUCGCUUUAUUUAAGAAUAAUUAUUUUAUCUAUUAUUCUUCUGCGUUUUCCUUGAUUAAAUAUAAUAACAGUAAUAUUUUCAUAAAUUUUUGCAUAAAUAAAUUUUUAUGAUUUUGGUUUUAAAUUCUAUAUUAUUCUAAUUUAAAUUUAAACAUAAAUAAUGAUAUUUCUUAUUUUGUACUCCAACUCUCUACCUGGUAGUACUAUGGUACUCUAAAUAGUUCAUUGCAUCAACUAUACUGUAUCACUCUAUGUUUUCUUCUUUUUAUUUUGUAGAUCUAUUUAAUUUUUACUCAUCAUUUUCUAAAUUUAUCUUUUUCUAUAUAUAUAUAGUAUGUAAUGUUGAUCUGAAACUGAAUUAAAUCAUGUUAUAGAAAAUUUAUGAAUGUUGUAUUGUAUGGUAUACCUGUUGUAUAAUCACUCAAAUAUGUUACCAGAAUCAAGUUCUUCAAUUUUAUUGGUAUGUGUUUUGUUUUCCGUUUUCUUUCUUCAAAGCAUAUCAUUAUGUUUCAACUUUGUAUGCAUUCUGAAAAGAAACACAUAAGAUCUCAUAAGUUUUGUUACAAAUUGGUAGAUAAAAGUACUAUCACAAAAAAUAGUGAUAUAUAGUAAUCAAACUCAAAAUUAUUAACUUACCUAUGUCUUUCUUUGCAGUUGUUGGAAAGAUAAGAGAUGAAAUCAUAAAAAUGAAAAAAACAAAAAAACGUGGUGAUAUUAUCAUUGGAGAAAUUGUAUCAAAACUAAAUAUGAGAGUUAUUCUUCAUACCUUGAUCUUGAUGUAACUUUGUUGAGUUGAAGUUCAAGAAAAAAAAUUAUUUAGUAAACAUGAUAUGAAAGAAAAAAAAGACAAGAAAAAAUGAGUAUAGAAAAAUGGGUUUGAUCAUCAUACUCGCGUUGUUGUUGUUGUUUGAUAGCGUUGAAUAUCUUCAUUUUUUCUGCAAAACACAAAAAUUAAGUUAGUAGAGAAGUGUAGUUAAAGAUGAGGAGAGAAAGAAGAGAUAAGAGAGAAGUUUUAAAAAUGAGAAUGAGUAUAUAAUGAGAUGUCAAUUAUAAAUAGUGAGAAAAUUUUAUAAAUUUGAAUUUGAAUGAAAAGGUGCAAGAGUGGGAAAAUUUUAUAAAUUUGAAUUUGAAUCAAAAGGUGCAAGAGUGGGAAAUGUGUUGUCAGUUUUGUCUUUUACUACCAAAAAAUUCUGAUUUGACAUAAAGGUGGCAAUUGGAUUUCAAUUUCAUUAGUUCAAUGCCAACUAUGGCUUGCCUUUCGGUUAACUUUUGUCUCACAAAAGGAGAAUAUGGCUUAGUUAGUGAGCCAUAUGGCUCAGUUACACAACUUUUUAGUUCAGUUUGAAAAUUUUUGGACAACAAAUGCCCUUGUUUUGGACAGGUGGCAAAUUCUGGAGCAAGGGCAAAACUGAUUUUUCCAUGGUAAUCAAUUUUCUUAUAUUGUAAUAGA